UUUUUAAAUGAUUUUUGUUAAACCUUGAAUAUUUUGAAUUGUGCUGGGAUAGAUAUAUUUUAUAAUUUAGUAUCUUUUGCGUUAUUAAGCAACUUCUUAGUAUUUUGAUGGAACAAUGGUACCCUCCCCCAACCCUCGUCUAUGGAAUGACUUUUUUUCAGUUUUUGUCACAAAUUCUAUCAACUAGCAAUUUGGAUGACCAAGAAACUACAUCAGAAUGAUAGAUAAUGUAUAUAUAGGUUAGAACACUAACAACCUUUUGCCGACUAAAGGCUUGCGACUCGCCAGCAGAAGUGAGAUUGCUUCCUUGGUUCUCUCUCGUGUUCCGAGCUGACAUGAACUACGCUGGAUGCUGUGAAAAGUUCGCUAAAGAUGGCAUCAAAAUAUUAAAUCUAAUCGAAUGAGUUGCAAGUUAUAAGGAGAGAAAACAUUAUUACUUAGAAACAUCUAUCGAAACAUAUGCAGCAUUCCCAUCUCUUUCUCAACAUAAGAAUCGGCUGAAUCGAAAAACGGGCCAUUCUGACAUCAAUUUCUGUAAAGGGCCGAAUAAAUCAGACGCCACAGAAUGGAGCCAGCAUGCGAGAGCCUUCUGCAUGUAGCCGUCCUCCCCAGGAAAAUGUUGCCAGGCAAGUAACGAACCACUUAGUGCUAAAACAAGACAAGAAAUGUUUCCAGGCGAUGUGUAAGUGUCAUAUUUGCAGAGUGACUACUUCAGUUUCUGUCAGAUUCUCUAUCAGCAAUCUGUAUGAUGGCAAAUAUUUUCUCAUAAUGGUAUUAGU